AACAACAAUCACGGUCGAUCAUUACCAACUCAGCAAAAUUAAAUUGUUUAUCAUGUGCUAUUAGUAGCUAUUAGUAGCUUUAUGUUAUGUAGCUUUGGUAUCUCCACCGAGGCAUCAGCACCUGCGGUGCUUUCAUUGUAUCUAGAAUUUGUAGUACUAAGAACCCUUCAUCAUCUUUCUUUGUGUGUACAGAGUAUUGCUGGAUCACAGAUGCGUGUGAUUCUCAGGUGGUGGAGCAGUCAACCAAACGUACGUGUCACAAGAAACAGUCUGAUGUUGGGUUUCCACCAUGGCAGAGCCAGACACCACACUCGUUACAUCUGUCAGUCUUCUUGUUGGAGUCCUUCCAGCAGAACGCACACCAUCCCCGUUUACAUCUCUUUGCAGGUGGUUGCAGGCACAUGUUUUGACAACAUACUCACCAAGUCCAACCUGUCUCUUCUUUUGCUUCCCCGUGUAUAUGUCAAAUUUGUGGAAAUAGCCGUUAGCACUAUCUGCCAAUACCCAUACCUUGAUCCCCCGUUUGAUCAGUUUCAUAGGCAUAUUAUAUUGCUUUAAGGAAGACUGCCCCUGAAACUUAAUCAUUGCUUCGUCCACUGCUACAUUCUGUGUAGGGUUGUACAAAGCUUCGAACCUCUCACCCAGGUGCUGAAUGAGGGGGCGGAUCUUCCCUAACCGAUUGUACGAGGGGUCACCUCGUGGAACAAGAUGGUCGUUGUCCACGAAGUGCAGAUACUGGGAGAUAUCACGGAAUCUCUGCCUUGAGAUUACAUCGGCGAUGGGUGCAUAGUGGUCUCGGCUCCAAUAGUCAUUGAUCGAUGGCAGGUGAUUGAGUCCCAUGAGGAUGGAGAAUCCGAAGAAGGCCCAGAGCUCUUAAACUGUGUGUUGAGUCCACGUUCGGUAUGCCUCCUCUCCCAUUACAUGUCUAGCGUAGUUGUUGCUCUCACACACAAUGUGUUCCUGCAGAUCAUUGUUAAAAAAUAGCAGAAACACUUCUUCUGGCCUCUCUGAGAUGUCCACUGUUGGUCCUACUGCUGACUCAAAUGACUUGAUAGUCAGGGUGUGCAAUUCACUCCUCCAGGAUUGCUGUCUGUUGACGGGGGCUCCAUUUCUACAUGUUCCUCAUCAUUCAAGAUGUCUUGUAGAACCUCCUCCGUGGUCCAGUGUGGCCUCUUGGCCUGCAGCUCUAUAUUAUUAUUAAAAAAUGUUUGUUCAUGUUAUAAAUAUUUUGUGUUUGUUGGGUGGUAUAAAAACAACAGUAGUAUUCAAGCGUCUGUAUCAAAAAAAUUUCUGUAUGAUAUAAGCUUUUCACUUUAUAUGGGUACCUUGAAGGUGGAUAGAAUUAGAAGGCGUCCUAGCUUCAGUCCAACAGCAGCCCCACCCAGAUUCUUUAGCAGCCAGGACUGCUGCAGCUGACACCUAUUGGUAGAGAUGUCAGACUGAAAGUAGUGAGUGGGAGUAUUUUCUUACAGUAAAUUCAAUGGUAAGAAACAGGACUAGAAAGUGAGUGAACAAGAAGGGCUUUCCACAGCAAGCCCUGGAAGAGUCUAGCAAACAACAGCUGUUCCCAGGGGUAAAAAUAGUGUAGAAUUUAAUUUUUAGAACAGUUUUUAUGAUUUUAGCAUUUGGUGUUUGUUUUGUGUGUGAUUUUUUCUCAAAGGUGAUCAUCAUUUUGGCAACCAAAUAUUGUGCAAGGAAACUAAACCUUCUGUGGAUGAUUUGAUUGGUUGUUGUGGUUGCGAAAUUUUGUUGCACAGUCUGGUUUGGUGAUGAUGUGUGAUUUGAUUAUAAUUAUUUGUCUGGUCAGGAGUGCAUUCAUUCCUGGUCUGGUAUUAUGAUGAUAAUAAUGAUCUGAAUUAAUUGGUGGUCUUCGCUGUUGAAUUGAUUUGUUGUUGUGGGAAUUUCUCAUCUCUUCCGGUUCCCUGCACAGCACAAACAGCUAUGGGUGUAAUUUUGUUGUCU